GCCGGGCUGCUCCCGCUCUGCGGCCGCUCCGGAGCUUCCGUAAAGGCGGCCGGGGCUUUCCCGCGCUUCGGAGCUCACGGCCCGCCGAUGGUUGAGGCCGCCGUGCCCUGUUAGGCUGUUCACGGGUGUCUCGGUGGGAGCGGGACUCCUGCGAGGUUUCUGUGCCUCUCCCGCCCGGCUGAGGGGCGGUCGCGCCGCUUGUGCGUCUUUCUCGGAGUCUUUGAAACCAAUUGCUCCAUCAACAGAGAAAAAUCCGAUUAAUUUGACGCUGCUCCUUGGUAAUGACCUAAGAAUGAAGGCUGAAUUUCAAGGAUUAUAUCCUUCAAGCUCAGGAGCGAUGCAUGCCGACAAGAGGGAAAUCGGGCAAGAAUGGCAGAAGACCGUCAUGGAUGGAUAAGAAGCUGCUGAGCAGUAGAGAAAAAAAAAUACGGCUGUAGAAAAGUAGAGGUUUUUUUCUCAGAAAGGAAAAAGAAACUUUCGAGAAGUGGAUAUGAGGACAAGUGGCCUUGGAGGACUACAGGAAAAUCCCCUGGUCAGGGGGCUUGGGGCUAGAUGAUCUUUAAGAGCCAUUCCAACCCUGUAAUAUUCUAUUCCAUGAUUCUAUAAUAUGCAUUUGCUGAUGGUUUGGCAGCUGCUGUGUCCCUAAUGCCUGUAAAAGGAUUUUAAAAUGAAUUUAUUCUGGUGUCUUCUCUAGUAUUGAAUUAACAUCGAUGAGUUCAUAUCCACAGUGUUAUAUGGGGCAAUGUUUUGUCAUUACAGGGCUCUUAGAUCAGGUGAAAGAAAUGUUAUAUUUGUGAACUCACCAGUUCAAAACCUUUGCUUAUGAAAAACUGACUUGUAAAUUUGUUAAAUCAUUAUGUUGGAAACGAAUCAGUAUUCCUAAAUAAUCCCACUCCUCCUGCCAGCAGUUAUGGAGCAGAUUUGGAAAAAGAAAAGCUCUGGAAGACUGUGCAUGGUUUGUCUCCCCUUCUGAGGCAGACCUUAGGGCUAAGGUCUCAUGGAGACUCAAGUCUCAAACAUGAUGGAGUUUCAUGAGGAGACAACUGAUGUAACUGCAGAUGGGCCUUAGAAAAAAAUAGGAAAAAGGAAAAGGUGCAGAAUGGUGUAAAUUUAUUAAAAUGUCUGCAAAUCUGAUAAUACUGCAAAGUUUACAGUAGGCAACUCCAAAAAAGGAAAGAAGAAAUCAGUAAUGCCUGAGGUGCCCAGCCAGGUUGCCAGGAGGCUGAGCUGUAAACCUGCCCUGCUCAGGCAGUCAUUCCCAGCCCCUGCAGAGGCUCCACUUCACGUCGUGGAGUUGGUUGCAGUGUGCUGGGUGACGGAUUCAUCCUCCUCUCCCGUCUGCUGACUCUUCUUCUCCGAGGAAUUCUGGGAGCUCCUCUCCUCCGCUUCCAAAAUCUGUGAGGGAACAAGCAACCAGAAGUCAGGGAAAGAGAAAGCGAGGAGCAAAAGCACAACUUAAUUCACAGAGCUGAGAUGAAGGGAACAACAAUCUGGAGCUGAUUUAUUUUUGGGAGGGGGCAAAAAGUUUGAGAUGAGGUCUCGUGAGAAGAAGAAAACAAGGGGAAUCAAAAUGUGGAGCACAAAGAGGCAGCAAAUCCAAAUGUUUUGCCUCACUAGAGUCAAGAAGCCCUGGAGAACCAAAUAAUCUGUGAUUGGGCUAAGGACUAAAUUUGACCCUGUGGCUAUUUUGUUCUUUGAUGGUAAUUACAAAUAAAAAUACAUAUAUCUGUAUGUA